rfam:Rhodopseudomonas palustris CGA009 complete genome.
UUUGAUCGCGCCCGUUCAGGUGUGCCGGGAAUCGUCCGGCACAGGGAAGCCGGUGCGGGCCCAAGCUUAUGGCCGCAAACCCAAAUCCGGCGCUGCGCCCGCAACUGUGAGCGGUGAGCGAUCCUUCAAUCGGCCACUGGGCAGCACUUGCCCGGGAAGGCGAAGGAUUGCGACGACCCGUGAGCCAGGAGACCGGCCUGAGUACGUCAUCUUCC